AUUGAACGCUGGCGGCAGGCCUAACACAUGCAAGUCGAACGAGUGGCGGACGGGUGAGUAAUGUCUGGGAAACUGCCUGAUGGAGGGGGAUAACUACUGGAAACGGUAGCUAAUACCGCAUACCAUCGGAUGUGCCCAGAUGGGAUUUGCUAGUUGGUGGGGUAACGGCUCACCAAGGCGACGAUCCCUAGCUGGUCUGAGAGGAUGACCAGCCACACUGGAACUGAGACACGGUCCAGACGCCGACGGGAGGCACAAGUGGGGAAUAUUGCGCAAUGGGCGAAAGCCUGAUACAGCCAUGCCGCGUGUAUGAAGAAGGCCUUCGGGUUGUAAAGUACUUUCAGCGGGGAGGCGUUACCCGCAGAAGAAGCGCCGGCUAACUCCGUGCCAGCAGCCGCGGUAAUUC
rnacentral:rRNA from 1 species